rnacentral:piRNA from 1 species
UCAUAAUGUCGAACCGAUAAA